GCCACACCCGCAGCAUAUGGAGGUUCCCAGGCUAGGGGUCAAAUCGGAGCUGUAGCCACUGGCCUACACCACAGCCACAGCCACACUGGAUCCUUAACCCCCUGAGCAAGGCCAGGGAUCAAACCUGCAACCUCAUGGUUCCUAGUCGGAUUCACUUCCACUGAGCCACAACCGGAACUCCAAAAUUGUCAACAUUUAACAUGCCUUUAUGCUAAAAACUCUUACCAAAGUGGGUAUAGAGACAACACAUCUCAACAUAGUCAAAGCCAUUUAUGACAAACCCACAGCCAGUAUAAUGAACUCAACGGAAAAAAAGCUGAAAGCCUUCCCACUAAAAUCUGGAACAAGACAAGGAGGCCCACUCUCACCACUUCUACUCAACAUAGUUUUGGAAGUCCUACUCACAGCACUCAAAAGAAAUAAAAGGUACCCAAUUUGGAAGAGACGAGGUAAAAUUGUCACUCUGCAGAUGACAUGAUACUAUAUAUAGAAAGGACGCCACACAGAAAGUACUUGAACUAAUCAAAGAAUUCAGCAAAUUAGCAGGAUACAAGAAUAACAUUCAGAAAUCGAUGGCAUGUCUGUAUAUAGCAAUGAAAUAUUAGAAAACGAAUGUUGAAAUACAAUACCUUUUAAAAUCAUACCCCCCAAAAUUAAAUGCCGUAGGAAUAAACCUGACCAAGGGGAUUCAGAGAAAUGGAAAGACAGCCCCUGCUUCUGGAUUGGAAGAAUUAAUAUCCUUAAAUUGGCCCUACUCCCCAGAGCAAUCUGCAGACAAUGCAAUCCCUACCAAAUUACCCAUGACUUUUUUUUUUUUUUUUUAACAGAACUAGAAUGAACAAUCCAAAAAUUAGGGGACCAAAGCAAUCUGGGGAGGCGGGUGGUGGCGGGGAGCAGGAGGCAUAACUCUUCCAGACUUCAGACAAUAUUACAAAGCUACAGUAAUCGAGGCAGUGUUUACAAAAAGACAGACCAGUGGAACAGCAUGGAGAGCCCAGAAGUAAACCCAGACAAUUCAUCUUGGACAAAGGAGGCAAAAAUAUAAAACAGGAACAAGUCUCUUCAGCAAGUGGUGCUGGGAAAGCUGGACAGGUGCAUGUCCAUCAAUGAAGCUAGAAGACACCCUCACAGCAUGCCCCAAAAUAAACUCCAAAUGGCUUAAAGAAUUAAUAAGCGACACCAUAAAACUCCCAGAAAAUAACACAGGCAAAAUAUUCUCCGACAAACCAUACAAAUGUUUUUUUAGGUCAGUCUCCCCAGGCAAUAGAGAUAAAAAUAAACCAGUGGGACCUAAUCAAACUUACUAGCUUUUGCACAGCAAAGGAAACCAUAAAAACAAAAACCCCUACAGAAUGGGAGAAAAUAAUUGCAAAAGAUGUAACUGACAAGAGCUUCAUCUCCAAAAUACACAAACAACUCAUACAACUCAAUAGCAAAAAACCGAAACAACCCAACUGAAAAAUGAGCAGAAGACCUAAAUAGACAUUUCUCCAAAGAAGACCUAAGGAUGGGCAACAGGCACCUUAAAAGAUGCCCAGCACCACGAAUUAUUAGAGAAAUGCAAAUCGAAACUACGAGCUACCACCUCGUAGUUAGGAUGGCUAUAACUAAUGAGUCUACAAAUUAAAAAUGCAGGUUCCCAUCAUGGCUCAGCGGAAACUAUCUGGCGAGGAUCCAUGAGGAUGCAGGUUCAAUCCCUGGCCUUGCUCAGUGGGUUAAGGAUCCAAUGUUGCUGUGAACUGUGGUGUUGAUCACAGAUGUGGCUCGGAUCUGGCAUUGCUGUGGCUGUGGCGUAGGACGAAGGCUGCAGCUCCGAUUGGACCCCUAGCCUGGCAACUUCCAUGUGCCAAGAGUGCAGCCCUGAAAAAGACAAAAAUAAAAAAAAAUUAAAAAAUAAAAAUGCUGGAGAGGGUGUAGAGAAAAGGGAACCCUCCUACACUGUUGGUGGGAAUGUAAAUUGGUACAACCACUAUGGAAAACAGUAUGGAGGUACCUCAGAAAACUAAAUAUAGAAAUACCCUAUGAUCCAGCAACCCACUCCUAGGCACGUAUCCAGACGAAAUUUGCUUUUGAAAAGAUAAAUGCACCCCUAUGUUCAGGGCAGCACUCUUCACAACAGCCAAGUCAUGGAAACCACCUAAAUGUCCACCAACAGAUGAAUGGAUUUAGAAGAUGUGGUACGUAUACACACAACGGAAUACUACUCAGUCAUGAAAAGAACAAGAUAAUGUCAUUUGCAGCAACAUGGAUGCAGCCAGAGAUUCUCAUCCUAAGUGACGUUAACUCAGAGAAAGACCAUUACCAUAUGAUAUCACUUACAUGUGGGGUCUAAAAUGUGGCACACAUGAGCCUGUAUCUAUAUAAACUGACUGACUCAUGGACACAGAACAGACUUGUGGUUGCCGAGGGGGAGGGGCUGGGAGUUUGGGGUUAGUAGAUGGGGACUUAAAUUUCCAGCGGGUCAGCAAUGAGGUCCUGCCGCACAGCACAGGGACCGGGAUAGGACAUGAGAGACGAUGACAGGAGCAAAAGAAGAUACACACACGUAUAACUGGGUCACUUUGCUGUACAGAAAUUGACAGAAUAUUGUAGGUCAACCAUAAUUUAAAAAAUUAAAAGAAACGGCUUUGGAUGAAGGUCGUCCAAAGAUACAAACUUGCAGCUGUCAGAUGAAGUCCUCGAGCUGCAACACACAACACGGUAAACGUAGCUAACGCUGCGCAGCGCGAGGCAUCGGAGUGGUUAAGAGGGUGAAUGCUAAGAGUGUGUCACAAGGAAAAAGUCCUUUAAUUCUCUGCCCGUGAGACUGAGCUGUGACGACCAUCUCACGAGGCGCCGCAGUGCGCUCAUCAUCCCGGAGCCUUACACUCACACGGGGCCGCCUGUCAGUUGUCUCAAUGAAACUGGGCGAGGAAAAGGGAAAACAAGAGCGAGAAAUGAGGAUCAAGGGGCCACUUGGUGUCAAGUCUCCAAAGCGGGCCCGGUCACACCCUGCUCCAGGCCACCUCGAGCCUUAAAGACGGCGCCGCAGAAACGGUGGCCUGGGGCAGACGCGGUCGCCGCACGUUUGCCGGGGAACACACACGGCAACUCCGGAGAGACCGAACAGCUUGCAGCAUCAGCGAUGACGCUCCCCGAACUCCAGCAGCGAGACCGGGUGCUGCGCUGCUGAAAUCCUAACGCACGCAGACAGGGGCCCGCGUCCCCGUAAGACAGAGUCUGCUCCAGCCGGUCUGGGGCCGGCCCAUUCCUGACAUGCUGCAGCGGCUGCUCCGGGGACGGCCCUUGGCACGGAGCCCGUCCUAAGCCACCGCGGCAGCGGCGGAAGGAACCGUGUGGCCGCACAGGACUGUCCCGCCGAUGCCGCGUCGGCCUCGUGCGCACGCGCACGUGGCCGUGUGGCGUCAGAACCGGAAGGUAAACGAGCAACGGGAGCACGUGGAUUUGUUGACGUGAGGAGACGUUGAGAAAAUGUCAGUUUUAAAGUCCUCCUGUGCGGGUAGAACAUACAGUUUUUUUUAAAAGUACGUGAUCCAGACAGUGGGCUGCUGAAUUGCGCUGCUUAGAGUCUAUGCCCCAAAAGGAUGAUUUAGAACCCGCUUGUUCGAGAACUGUAGCUUCAUGAGAAAAGCCUGGAUGCUGACCCAGUUCAGAGGGGCUGAAGCUCUUAGGAUGAUUUAAGCAGGAAGCGCUUCGGUCAGUAGGGCCUCUUCAGCAGUGUCACGGGAGCGGAAGGUCGCCGUCCUGCAGAGCCGGCCGCCGGCUGCUGUGGGGCUCUGGUGGCCUCUCUGCAGCCCGGGGCUGGCCGUCUUGCAGUGACCCAGGCUGCUUCCUGAACAGGGGGUCACCCAGCUCUAAGGGUAAGCCCCUUAGGUUGCAGGGUUGUUUUAGGACCCGGCAGCAUCAUUGAGUCAGCAGGGAAGUUGCUGGGGCCACUUUGAAGGGCAUGCAGUCCUCUGAGUGCAGAAGCUCUGGCUUAUUCGAGACACAGGUGCUUUUUUGGUCUUUUUUUUUUUUUUUUUUUAGGGUCACAUGCACAGCAUAUGCAAGUUCCCAGGUUAGGGGUCAGAUUGGAGCUGCAGCCACUGGCCUACACCACAGCCACGCAAGAUCCGAGCCACACCUGCGACCUACACCACGGCUCACGGCAGCGCCAGAUCCUUAACCCAAGGAGCGAGGCCAGGGAUCGAACCUGGGUCCUCACGGAUACUAGUUGGGUUCAUAACCCGCUCAGCCACAGCAGGACCUCCCUUGAGACACAGUAUUAACUUGACUUUACAGCCAAGCCCUGCUGCAUCACGGGCCAGGCCUGCAAGCUGGCGCAUCAACCCUGAAGCCGUCUCCCUGACAGGCGGCCCAUGUGGGACAGUGGAGCACAUUGAUGUGCCGUCUGGCCACAGGCAGACACGCUUGGGGGCACGUGCAAACAGGCUCGGGGGCAGCAGCCAGCCCCCAACAGACCAGCUGCACCAUCACUGGCUGGUAGGACACACUUGAGUCUCAAGAAAAGCUCCAAGUUCAAGGUUAAAUAGUAACGAUGAUAGCCAGGACGCAGUUUUGACAUUUCCAGCUUCCAAAGCGCCUUCCUGUAUGUGAUCUGAUCACAGCUCCCCCAUAACCUUCAAGGCAAGUGACAGUGCACCAUCUGAUAGACCAAAGACUGAGGUUCAUCGAGUUGCCAUGAAGUGCCCAGCUUCUCACAGGUGGGAAGAGAGGAGGGCGUCCGGGUAGAAUAAAAGCACUUUUUCUAAUCUAGAUCCUUCUCUGUUUUUACUUUUUUAGCACUGAGUUUAAAAAUAAAGAUGCUAAUAGAACUCCUUUUGCAUAAACGAAGGAGUUGAAAACAAUAAAUUAAAACCUUCUCUGAAGUUAUUUUGGUAACUUCAAAGUCUAUUUCAAAAUAUAUUAAAAAGUAUGGAGUUCCCGUUGUGGUGCAGUGGUUAACGAAUCCGACUAGGAACCAUGAGGUUGCAGGUUCGAUCCCUGGCCUCGUUCAGUGGGUUAGGGAUCCACAGUUGCCGUGAGCUGAGAGGUGGGUCGCAGAUGCGGCUCGGAUCCUGCGUUGCUGUGGCUGUGGUGUAGGCUGGCGGCUACAGCUCCGAUUCGAUGCCUAGCCUGGGAACCUCCAUGUGCUGCGGGAGCGGCCCAAGAAAUGGCCAAAAGACAAAAAAAAAAACGUCCCCGUGGUGUCCCUUCCCACCCCAAAGCCUGCGUGUUGUGCUCAGCCUGUGUGCAAGUGCCAGGAUGACAUUGACGUCUUUAAUAACGUGAGAACCUGGCCAACUUCCAGCGCACCUGGUCACCCAGAAGCAGCUCGUGGAACUCCAGAAGGUGUGGCUUCUGCUGCUUCAUAGACGCACACAUGUCACUGAGGGAAGCCACACCUCGGUGGCCAGGCCCCAGGAGGCGAGGGGCGGGGGAGGAACCUGGAAAGAGAGCCCCAAAGGGCUGGUCCUCAGCCUGGCGUCUGCAUGAUGUCCACCAGAGGGCGCCAUGGGCCAGCAGAUGCACACACACCGCUCCGGCCACAGAAAAACUCCUGCACCGCUGGCCUCCUGCGGCCAAGCUGCACAUUCCCUGAACACCUACUAUGUGCCGGCGAGGCCUCUGCCCUCAAGAAACACACAUACAAGAAGUUAAAUGCAUACUUAUACACUGUGCUUCGUGCUGUAGCAGAACAGAGCAGUGGGGAGAGGGAACAUCGGGGUGAAUAUAUGAAGAGGGGGAAUCUGGGAGGAGUCUCUGGGGAGAGUUCUAGUCUCUUCACCGCUGACUCGGGAUCAGAGCUGGUUAACACCAGAGAAUGCUGGGUUAGAAUGCCGGUGAAGUUCCUGGGGCUCAGCCUCCCAGGCUCAAAGCUGCUCAAAGGUUAGCGUGCACGCACACACAAAGGUCACGGGCCCAGUGGGCAGAGGUGCCCCUGAAGGUUCCCUAAAGACAGGCUGACCGUCCCCCCCAAGCCCAGGGCAAAUCACAGACACCCGAAGAUCAGGAGCGUCAUAGACCUUUCCCUCAGGACGGGCUGCUGGGCCCUUUGUGGGAGCAGGGGUGGCACCUGCUGCCACCCCAGGGGGUGCAGAGGUGAGGCCUCAAGUGGCGGGAGAGGCCCGCGCAUGGCCUGUCUCUGGCCUUAGCCUGGGUGACGCCUUGCCAUCUGGGCAGCAGGGGACACUCACUGGGUGGCCUUGCAGGCUAGCUGGUAGGCAGGGGCUUCUGCCCAGUGCCCCAGAAACUCAGUGCCCAGGAAGCCUCCGUGAGGGUCACUCUAUGGGCAGGUGUGGCUUUCAGCCUGAGCAACUGUGAAAUAUGAUUCAAAGAGCCGGACAGGCUGCAGUUCCCAUCCCUGCCACCUCCCAGCUGUGUGGCCUGGGACAAACGCCUUCACCUCUCUGGGCCUCAGGUGCCUCAUCUUUAGAAUGACACAACAGGGAGUUCCCGUCGUGGCGCAGCGGAAACAAAUCUGGCUAGGAACCAUGAGGUUGUGGGUUCGACCCCUGGCCUCGCUUCAUGGGUUAAGGAUCCGGUGUUGCCGUGAGCUGUGGUGUAGGUCACAGACGUGGCUCGAUUCUCGUGUUGCUGUGGCUGUGGCGUAGGCUGGCCACUGUAGCUCCGAUUCGACCCCUAGCCUGGGAACCUCCAUAUGCCACGGGUGUGGCCCUAAAAAGACAAAAAGACAAAAAAAA
rnacentral:lncRNA from 1 species